AUCUGCCCAUCCAAACACUACUUAUCCCAGCAUUCCUUGCAGCUAGGUGGGGGUCAUGUGACUUGUUCUCACCAAUGGAAUCCAACAGAGAGAGGAGUCUGAGGUCCAAGAAGAGGGCAGAGCUAUGAGAAAGAAGGAGCCUGGUUCCCUGACUGACUUCAUGGAAUGCUGUCCAUUGACAAAGCCUGAACACUUUUAGCAACAAGUGCAAAUCCAAAGAAGGGAACACCUUCAUCACUUGUAAGAAGGAG